rnacentral:rRNA from 1 species
GAUGAACGCUGGCGGCGUGCUUAACACAUGCAAGUCGAACGAUGAAGCACAGCUUGCUGGGUGUUUUAGUGGCGAAGUGGUGAGUAACACGGGAGUAACCUGCCCUUAACUCUUGGGUAAGCCUUGGAAACUGGGACUAAUACCUGAUACCAGCGUCCACCUCAUGGUGAGAGUUGGAAAUAUUUAUCCGUUUUGGAUGGUCUCGGGGCCUAUGAGCUUUUUCGUGAGGUAAUGGCUCACGAAGGCGACGACGGGUAGCCGGCCUGAGAGGGUGACCGGCCACCCUGGGACUGAGAGACGGACCAGAGUCGUACGGGAGGCAGCAGUGGGGAAUAUUGCACAAUGGGCGCAAGCCUGAUGAAGCGACGCCGCGUGAGGGAUGACGGCCUUCGGGUUGUAAAACUCUUUCAGUAGGGAAGCAGCGAAAGUGACGGUACCUGAAGAAGAAGCACCGGCUAACUACGUG